AGGACAUGCUGGGACUGGCAGGUCGGACAGAGGUGGAGCCUCAGAGGCAGGAACCUGUUUGAAGGAUUCAGAAUCAGAGAAUAACUGGAUCAGGAUGUUUGGAUCCAACUUCUGCUGCAGGUCACUGAGAAUCAGCACUGACCUUUGACCCUUCAUCAGAAGAGUCAUCUAUCUGAGGGGGCGGGGCCAAGGAGCAGAGGGAAGUAAAAAUGGCAGCUACUUCCACAGUACUGUCUAGGGGUCUUGGACUGGUCCUGGUGGUGUUCAAGUAUGAGUACGAGGACAGGGACGGAGUCCUAGUCUCCAUCAAACCCAA